rnacentral:tRNA from 1 species
GGGUGCGUCGGAUAGUAGCAAUUCCGUCUCUCUGUAAAAGAGAUGCCUACGGGCUCCGCAGGUGCAAAUCCUGCCGCACCCA